ensembl:lncRNA
CAGGCAGGCAGAGAGCUGAGGCCCUCCUGUGUUGCAUGGUUUGCAUGGCAUUCUCAAAGCACUGGAGUCACAGGAGGGUUUUAUAGACUAAGUUCUCAUGAAGAUCAUUCCAGAAAACAGUGGUAAGAGACCCAGCUUCUGCAGGAUACCCCCCUCACUAAGGUAAAAAUAAGAGUAGAACCCUUUAAGAAAAUGAGAAGGCGAAUCAUAUACUGGGAGAAAUUGUUUGCAAAAGACAUACCCGAUGAAGGAUUUUAAUCCAAAAUAAUGAACUCUUAAAACUCAACCAUAAGGAAAUGAGCAACCCAAUUAAAAACUGGGCAAGGAAAGAGACAAAAUGGUAGAGAAGCAGCACCCUUCUCCUUGUAGAUACAUAUCAGAAAAGAAGGCCACAGAGCCAGCGAACCACCGGGCUCAACUCCUGGGUUACUGACGGCAGUUUAUGACUGUCUUUGAAACAAUGCAAGAGGAAGAACUCAGCCUCAUCACUGACCCCUAACUGCGAG